GUUCUUCGAUACCGUUGAAGAAUGAUGCCUGCUCAGUGAUUGCUAAUAAUUAAUAAAGUCAAUUAAACAGCCGCGGUAACUCUGACCGUGAUAAAGUAGCAUAAUAAUUUGUCAUUUAAUUGAUGACUGGAAUGAAUGGCUCUACGAAUCUUUAACUGUCUCAAAAUAAGACUCCACGAAUUUGAAAUUGUAGUGAAGAUGCUACAUAUUAACUGCAAGACGAAAAGACCCUAUUGAGCUUUACUGCUAUUCUUAAUUAAUAGUUAAGAAGAGACAGUUUGGUUGGGGCGACCCCCUCUUAAACAGUAACAGAGGGAUUCAAAGGUAAAAUAAAAUAACUUACUUGAUUGAAACAAUGAUUAUUGUAACAAGUACUAUCAGUAGGAUUUAAAUACCCAUUUGAAGUCUAUGUCAUUUCAAAUGUCAAUAAAAUAAGUUACCAUAGGGAUAACAGGGUAAUAUUUUCAAAGAGCUCAAAUCGAAGAAAAUGUUUGCCACCUCGAUGUUGAAUUGUGGUAUCCUGGGGGUGCAGCAGCUCCCGAGGGUUA
rnacentral:rRNA from 1 species